CCUCCCUCCCUCCCUCCCUGCCGGCCGUUCCUCCCCAGCUCUCCCAGCCUGGAAACUUCAGUUAAUCCCUGAAAGUCUGAACCCGGAGUCAAUUCCAAUACUAAACCACUGAUGCUGCCACAAAUCGGGACAAGGGGAGGCGAGGAAACUCCAAGACGGCAGAAAAGUCUCCGAAAAGCAGAGUUAGUGGGACCACCUUCAGACACCCAAGAAGACAACUCUGCGCGUGACAUCAGAGGGCAGCUGUCAGACUGGAAUCCCAAGUAUUCUGGGAUGGGCCGGAAUCCUUGACCACGACAUUCAAGGGUGUGAUAAAAACACUCGCUCAAAACUCGAGGGCCUGAAGACAGACACAAAACCCCGAGAAUUAAAGUCAAUUGCAAACAUG